rnacentral:rRNA from 1 species
UACGUAGGGUGCAAGCGUUAAUCGGAAUUACUGGGCGUAAAGCGUGCGCAGGCGGUUGUGCAAGACAGAUGUGAAAUCCCCGGGCUCAACCUGGGAACUGCAUUUGUGACUGCACGGCUAGAGUACGGUAGAGGGGGAUGGAAUUCCGCGUGUAGCAGUGAAAUGCGUAGAUAUGCGGAGGAACACCGAUGGCGAAGGCAAUCCCCUGGACCUGUACUGACGCUCAUGCACGAAAGCGUGGGGAGCAAACAGG